rnacentral:rRNA from 1 species
UUCGCCCUUAGAGUUUGAUCAUGGCUCAGGACGAACGCUUGCGACGUGCCUAAGAAAUGCAAGUCGAACGGGGGGAGCAAUCCCCUAGUGGCGAACGGUCGCGUAACACGUGGGCAACCUGCCCUGAAGCGGGGGACAACAGUCCGAAAGGAUUGCUAAUACCGCAUGUGAAUCGCUGCGGCAUCGCAGAGGAUUCAAAGCCGCAAGGCACUUCAGGAUGGGCCCGCGGCCUAUCAGCUUGUUGGUGGGGUAACGGCCUACCAAGGCGACGACGGGUAGCUGGUCUGAGAGGACGAUCAGCCGGAUUGGGACUGAGAUACGGCCCAGACUCCUACGGGGGGCAGCAAUUAGGAAUCUUGCGCAAUGGGCGAAAGCCUGACGCAGCGACGUCGCGUGAAGGAUGAAAUCUUUCGGGAUGUAAACUUCUUUUACCAGGGAAGAAUUCUGACGGUACCUGGUGAAUAAGCCCCGGCUAACUACGUGCCAGCAGCCGCGGUAAUACGUAGGGGGCGAGCGUUGUCCGAAGUUACUGGGCGUAAAGAGCGCGUAGGCGGGUCUUUAAGUGAGAGGUGAAAGGUUCAGGGCUCAACCCGGACACUGCCUUUCAUACUG